AUUGAACGCUGGCGGCAGGCCUAACACAUGCAAGUCGAGCGAGCGGCGGACGGGUGAGUAAUGUAUGGGAAACUGCCUGAUGGAGGGGGAUAACUACUGGAAACGGUAGCUAAUACCGCAUACCAUCAGAUGUGCCCAGAUGGGAUUAGCUAGUAGGUGGGGUAAAGGCUCACCUAGGCGACGAUCCCUAGCUGGUCUGAGAGGAUGACCAGCCACACUGGAACUGAGACACGGUCCAGACUCCUACGGGAGGCAGCAGUGGGGAAUAUUGCACCAUGGGCGCAAGCCUGAUCCAGCCAUCCCGCGUGUGCGAUGAAGGCCUUCGGGUUGUAAAGCACUUUUGGCAGGAAAGCGGUACCUGCAGAAUAAGCACCGGCUAACUACGUGCCAGCAGCCGCGGUAAUUC
rnacentral:rRNA from 1 species